GGAGUUUAGCUUGCUCGCGAGUCAUUGGGUGUUUAAAACCUAAAGGCGUAAAUGAAAGUAAAGAGAGUCACCAUGCUCUCGAGGGAGGAUGAGUUACCAAUUUGCUCCUUAACCGGUGCAUAUAAUGGUUCUCCGCACUCCCGGGGCGUCUCUUUCUCAUCGCGAGUGGAGGCGCACCUAGAGCGAGCACGCUGAUACCCGAAAGAUGGUGAACUAUGCCUGGCCAGGACGAAGCCAGGGGAAACCCUGGUGGAGGUCCGCAGCGAUUCUGACGUGCAAAUCGAUCGUCGGAGCUGGGUAUAGGGGCGAAAGACCAAUCGAACCAUCUAGUAGCUGGUUCCCUCUGAAGUUUCCCUCAGGAUAGCUUGCGCUCGGGUGUGAAGAGUCUCAUCCGGUAGAGCGAAUGAUUAGAGGCCUUGGGGUCGAAACGACCUCAACCUAUUCUCAAACUCCAAAUAGAUGAGAACCCCGGCUUGCUUAAACAGUGAAGCCGUGGGACUCGGAUCAGAGUGCCAAGUGGGCCAAUUUUG
rnacentral:rRNA from 1 species